rnacentral:lncRNA from 1 species
GGAGGCAGGAGUGGGAUAGCUGGUCCCCAGCCCUCGGGCUCUGCAGCCAGACUUGGGUGUGGGGAUGGGGAUAGACGACCCUCCCCAUUGUUCAAGGCCCAACCCUCCUCCCUCUGUCCGGACCCCAGACCCCUGCUCCCUCUUCCUGGCCCUUAUUUAACCCGUUAAGCUCUGUGCCACCAAUAGAUAGAUUCUGGAUCAGACCACAGACUGAAGUGGGAACCCACCCCAGGUCCACCAUGCAGAAAAGAGGCGGAGGAUGCUGGAGACAGUACUAGAACGCUGCGGCAGAACAAUCUACAGUAAACCCCACCCCCGUGUCCAUGACCGGAGGGUGGGUAAACAGAGUGGAUUCCCAUACACUGGGGAAGUUCUCA